ACUACUCUGUAUUCUUCUGGAAAAGAUUUAUCACUCAGCAAUUCAACUAAUGACAAAGCUUCCAAAUAAUAUCUAAAUGCCAAGCCUUUGUAAUACACGUGAGCAUGGCUAAACGGACUGACUUUCGGGUAACAGAUAUUCUUUUGUUUCUUGAAUUAUGCUAAAAAUUAAAACUACAAUUUGCAGAUAUCUGGUCAAGGCUUCUUGGUGAUUAGAGUACUCAUGUUUAUCUUGGCAGAAAUCAUAGAGAAGAUUAUAAAAGGGUGAAAAAUCCUUAAAAAAGUAUAGGAGAUUAUACUUACAGCAAAGAGUAGAUCCAUAGAGAAGAUAUGAACGAGUACAUCACCAUCAUCAGCGAUACAUACUACUACUACUAACAGCAAAUACAUAUUCCAUACAUCAGGACAGAUGAUUCUGAGUAGAGAAGGGUGUUUCUCUUCUACCCGACGUAACGUCGCUGUAUGUGUUUCUGGACCACAAUGACUGGAGCAGUACAAAGGAUUGUAACUUCUUUCACACUGUCAGCUACACAUUUUCUUUCUUUUUACCAUAUUUAUGUUGGGAGAUGUUGUGCAGUUGAAUUGGACUUUAUGCCAGAGGAUUAGACAAGACAAAUAUGUACAGGCUACUUUGUUAGCAAACAAAGGAAGUUUAGAGGAAAAUGACUUCCCAUCCACGCUUAUAUUUUUUUAAUUUUCCCUUUCUGAGCAGCAGAUAAUCAAACUAGUAGAAAACGACAAAUAAGAGUGAAAAUUCCCUUCAUUGUUAUCACCACUCGAGUGCAGGUUCAUUUUAUAAUGUUAGUUUGGUCUGGUCUUGUUCACUCUAGGGAACUCUUGUCUUCUCUCUUAUUUUAGGCCCACAUGUUGGGGAAAGGUCGCUUUUGGCACAUGGGUGCUGACACUAUACGGGUUGGGGUAUAAGGGUAUUACUCUCCUUUCCCUUUCAGCUUAUUGAAAUGUUUUUAUUUGGAUCUAUAAGUUUUGUGGAAGCCAGGUCCCUUGUGUGCUGACAGAUUUAGCUUUUGCUCCUGCAUGGAGCCCAAUUGCUGCUUUCCUAAACAGGAAUUGUCUAAAACUGACCCUCCACAACGUCUCCCAACAUAAAUAUGAUAUGAUUGCAACAAUCCUGACAAUCAGGCUAAAGAUUGAUGGAGUCUCUUCUAUGCAAGUUGCUUUUGUUGCUGGAUGUAAAUAUACAGAAAUGCCAUCGCUCAUAAAGGUUUCCAUGCAAUGUGGGGUGGAAGGAAGGGAAAGUCAUGGAAGUUGGAGGAAGAGACUGUUGUGACAUUCUAUACACGGCUACUAAAAAUGUUACAGAAGUGAAAUAUAGGCCUUGCGGGAAGGAUAAAGUAAUUGCCUAACUUCAACAUCAAAUUACUCAGCUUCUUGUAUUUUUUUUAAUAAGAUUGUUUUAGUAAUGUGCAUUUUAUUUUCAAAUUUUACAUGGCAACAUGCAUGUUUUUCUGUUGUCUUAAAAGUUCA